rnacentral:rRNA from 1 species
AUUGAACGCUGGCGGCAUGCUUUACACAUGCAAGUCGAACGGUAACAGGGUGCUUGCACCGCUGACGAGUGGCGAACGGGUGAGUAAUGCGUCGGAACGCACCGAGUAACGGGGGAUAACGCAGCGAAAGCUGUGCUAAUACCGCAUACGCUCUGAGGAGGAAAGCGGGGGACCUUCGGGCCUCGAGUUAUUCGAGCGGCCGACGUCUGAUUAGCUAGUAGGUGAGGUAAGAGCUCACCUAGGCGACGAUCAGUAGCGGGUCUGAGAGGAUGAUCCGCCACACUGGGACUGAGACACGGCCCAGACUCCUACGGGCGGCAGCAGUGGGGAAUUUUGGACAAUGUGCGCAAGCCUGAUCCAGCCAUGCCGCGUGUCUGAAGAAGGCCUUCGGGUUGUAAAGGACUUUUGUCAGGGAGGAAAUCCUUAGCGCUAAUACCGUUGAGGGAUGACAGUACCUGAAGAAUAAGCACCGGCUAACUACGUGCCAGCCGCCGCAGUAA